GACGAACCGAGCGAACGUUGUUCGGAAUCACUGGGCUUAAAGGGCGCGUAGGCGGGUUCUCAAGUCCGGGGUGAAAUCCCACAGCUCAACUGUGGAACUGCCUCGGAUACUGGGGGCCUCGAGGGUGGUAGGGGUAUGCGGAACUAUCGGUGGAGCGGUGAAAUGCGUUGAUAUCGAUAGGAACUCCGGUGGCGAAGGCGGUUCUCUGGGCCUUACCUGACGCUGAGGAGCGAAAGCUAGGGGAGCAAACGGG
rnacentral:rRNA from 1 species